GGGAAAGUGGCUCAGUGGUAGAGUUCUUGCCUUGCAUGCAUGAAGUCCUGGGUUCGAUUCCUCAGCACCA
rnacentral:tRNA from 1 species